rnacentral:rRNA from 1 species
UACACGGAGAGUUUGAUCCUAGCUCAGAAUGAACGCUGGCGGCGUGCCUAACACAUGCAAGUCGUACGAUAAGGAAGACUUCGGUCUUCUGGACAGUGGCGCACGGGUGAGUAACGCGUGGGUAACCUACCCUUCUGUUCGGAAUAACGCCUCGAAAGGGGUGCUAAUACCAAAUAUGACCACGGAAACUUCGGUUUCUGAGGUAAAAGGUGGCGAAUCUUCGGAUGCUAUCGCAGAGGGACGGGCCCGCGUGACAUUACGAUUGAUGGUGGGGUAAUGGCCUACCAUAUUGUCUACGAUGUCUAGCUGGUCUGAGAGGAUGAUCAGCCACACUGGGACUGGAACACGGCCCAGACUCCUACGGGAGGCAGCAGUGAGG